AGAGUUUGAUCAUGGCUCAGAUUGAACGCUGGCGGCAUGCUUUACACAUGCAAGUCGAACGGCAGCGCGGGGGCAACCCUGGCGGCGAGUGGCGAACGGGUGAGUAAUGCAUCGGAACGUAUCCUGUAAUGGGGGAUAACGUAGCGAAAGUUACGCUAAUACCGCAUACGCUCGAGAGAGGAAAGUGGGGGAUCGCAAGACCUCACGUUAUAGGAGCGGCCGAUGUCCGAUUAGCUAGUUGGUGGGGUAAAGGCCUACCAAGGCGACGAUCGGUAGCUGGUCUGAGAGGAUGAUCAGCCACACUGGGACUGAGACACGGCCCAGACUCCUACGGGAGGCAGCAGUGGGGAAUUUUGGACAAUGGGCGAAAGCCUGAUCCAGCCAUGCCGCGUGCGGGAAGAAGGCCUUCGGGUUGUAAACCGCUUUAGUCCGGGAAAAAGGGGUGCGAGGAUAAUACCCUUGUGCUUUGAUGGUACUGGAAGAAUAAGCACCGGCUAACUACGUG
rnacentral:rRNA from 1 species